rnacentral:rRNA from 1 species
CGCUGGCGGCGUGCCUAACACAUGCAGGUCGCACGUCCUCUUUCGUUUCGGCGAGAGAGGGAGUGGCGGACGGGUGAGUAACACAUGGGUACCUGCCCUCCAGUGAGGAAUACCGGCGAGAAAUCGCUGACAAUACCGCAUAUGCCCGGCAACGGGCAAAGUCUCUCGCGAGAGAGGCGCUGGAGGAUGGGCCUGUGGCCGAUUAGCUGGCUGGUGGGGUAAGAGCCUACCAGGGCGAUGAUCGGUAGCUGGUCUGAGAGGACGAGCAGCCACACUGGGAUUGAGAACGGCCCAGACUCCUACGGGAGGCAGCAGUGAGGAAUUUUCCGCAAUGGUCGCAAGACUGACGGAGCAACGCCGCGUGCAGGAGGACGGCCUUCGGGUUGUAAACUGCUUUUCUGAGGGACGAAUUUUGACGGUACCUCAGGAAGAAGCCCCGGCUCACUACGUGCCAGCAGCCGCGGUAAUACGUAGGGGGCAAGCGUCGUCCGGAAUUAUUGGGCGUAAAGCGCCCGCAGGCGGUUCGCCAGGUUUGAGGCGACAAUCACCGGCUUAACUGGUGAACGUCCUCAAAAACCAGCGGACUUGAAAGCGAGAGAGGGACACGGAACU